rnacentral:lncRNA from 1 species
CGGCCUACGCCAGAGCCACAGCAACGCGGGAUCCGAGCCGCGUCUGCAACCUACACCACAGCUCACGGCAACGCCGGAUCGUUAACCCACUGAGCAAGGGCAGGGACCGAACCCGCAACCUCAUGGUUCCUAGUCGGAUUCGUUAAGCACUGCGCCACGACGGGAACUCCCUGAUAUUUUCUUGAUUCACGUAUGCGGAGUUUCACAAUCUCAAUUGUAUUUCCUAGACAAAGUAAGAAUAUUACUAUGACAGCAUUAGCAGAAAUUUGAGCCAAAAUUUAUUUAUAUCAGUUUAUAUUUCCAGGGCCCUAUCUCCUUUGUAGUUGAAAAAAUAUAUAUAUAUAAAUUUGUUAAAUCCAUAAUUUACACCCAUGUAAGUUAGGGCCUUGGCACAUGUUACUCAAACUAGAUAGCCUAAAAGUCCCUUCCAACUUUAGGAAACAUUAAUAAUACUCUUUCAGAACCAUACCCCCCUCCCAUUUUUUCUCUUGAAAAACAUAAUUACCUACAACUCUAGGGAGAUAAAUGUAUGCAGAGAGGGGAAUAUGUCAAAAUUAAGCUCUGGUAAGUGCCGAAAUGAACAAACAGUCUGUAACAGUAACGCAAGAUACUACCUCCCAGAUUAUUAAAAAAAAAAAAAAAAGAAAGAAAGAAAGAAAACCACAGAAGUGCUGAUCUCCUUAUCUUAGAAAUGGUUUGGCUUUGAGUACUGGCUUCCAUGCAUCAAGCAGUGUAAGAACAAAAAGCCGGCUGUGCCAAGAGAGUUUCAGCAGCAUGAGAAACUCAAUACAUUCUUCUUCCAGGAGUUGUAGGAAACUAUCAAUUUUUUUUUUUCUCAGUAGAUUUGAAAAUGAGAAUAUCAAGACUUCUCAAAUGAGUCAGACCUGAAUAACUAUUUUCUCAUGUAACUUUUAUGCUAGCAAUUGGACUUCAAGCUCAUAAAAGUAAUUUCCAUGUUAAAUUGUGCCAUUGGGUUGGAGAUAUUGGGACUAAGGUUAAAAAAUAAGGUUUAUGAAUAACAUAUCUUACAAUUUGAAUUUUGAAAAUAUUGCUUAUGAAUAAAGUAAGUCAUACCACAUCAAAUUCACUUCACUGAAUAAUGUUUAUUAGGAUUAGCAGUAUAGCAGGAAUUGCAUAAAACUGAUAGACUUUUGGUGUCUAUUAGGGACGUUUAUUAAAAUUCAGCAGUUUAAAAAAUCAGUGCUUCACAUUUCAGAUCUAGAUAUACUAUUGAAGCAAUUUUUGGUGUGGAUUCAUCAAGACCUACAAGGCAAGACUGAUCAUGAGAUUUUCUGAAAAUGAUUUAAGUUUACAUUCAGGAAGCUAUGUUUUUAUGUUUUAAAACUGCCACUGACUAAAUAUGUUACCAGCAAUCAGGUUACUUAACUUUUACUAAUGUUCUCUUGGAUUAUUUUUCCAAAAGGCAAAGCUUAUUAGUUUUUGUAUUCUUUCUAACUCCAUUUGUUUGGUAAAAGUAGCUGACAGUAAGAAAAUCUAAUAUUAAGAAAAUUUAUCUAAGAAACAAUGAGUCAAGUAGUUAGACUUUUCUGCCAUGAAUAUUCAGAGACUUAACAACAUAAAUGCCUAAAUAACUGAUAAUAUUCUAUUUCAAAAAAUUUGAGUACUAAAGAGGAGAGAAGAUUAUAAAACAUCAUAUGUAUUAUAUAGGCACAGGGAGGAAAAAAGCAUUUACUGAGUAAGUGGUAGAGAAUAAUAGUACUCAACAAUGUCUGAAUAUCCUUUCUUUCAUGGGAAUGUAAGCAAUUACUUCUUCUAACAGUCCAUAGGAUGAUGACCAAAAAAAGUUAAAGAAAUGAUGUGUGUCACUCUUGGGCUGCAGCAAUGAUAAUCCCAGGUAACAAUUCUUCUCUCUACCAUAGCCUCUAAGAUACUGGAGGCCAUUGCCAAGGUAACAAUAUCAAAAGGGGGAAGCAGUCUGGUAUACAGAGUCACUGCAUGGUGGAUAAGUCAUCCAAACCCAUGGCGGAUAAACAUUGCAUAUCUUUAGCCAUUGAGAAUUUGGGGUUGAAACAUAGCUCUAUCUAACCUGAUUAAUAUGAAAAUGAUUAAAGGAAAACUCAUGUCUGCAUCGUUGAGUCUAAAUAACAUUUCCUAAGUAUCAUUUGCUGAUAGAGUUAAAUAGAAAAACUAAGUCAUACUCAAUCUUUUAUUGAAUUUUAUGUUGAAUUAAAUAUCCUAUGUCACUGUAAUGCUAUCAUUUUAGACACAUUUACAUGUUGAGACUUUGUAUUUGAUGCAGCAGUUGUAAUACACACAACAUUUUUUCAUUAAUUUUUCCCAUCAUUCCUUGAACACAUUUAUUUAAUUAAAAAAAAAGUCCCCCCUCUCAACAGGACUUCCAUAAUAAUUAACAAACAAUUCCAAACUUCUGGGAAGGAGCUGGUUAUGAAAAUCCAUUGCUUGUGGAUAAUAUUUAAAAUGACUAAACUAUAUUUCUCAUAGCCAUAAGAAGCUCUAACUGGGUGAAUAAAGCAUGGUAUAUAUGGUUUUUACUCCCAGUAGAAAGAAUUGCACUCUAUAAAGUGAUGAAAGUCAAGCUGAAGCAAUUAAUUCUUUUUUAAAGGCUCUCAAAUCUCAUAUUAAAUAAUCCUUUAACUAAUGAAAUAAUUAAUUAAAUCUCAUCACACUAUCUUCGUAUUAAAAAAAAAAAAACCUAUGUAUUGUCAUCAUAAGAGGCAAUAGUUUGCCUCAAAGCCUGAAGGUUAAUAUCUGAAUGACAUACAGUAGAUAUUUUUCUUUAAUUAAAAAAAAUUCCAAGCUGUAUAAGUUAAAUGAUUAUUUUGGCUUCAAAGGUGCAUAAAAUGUAACUCAUGGCCUUAGAAUGAUUUACACUUACAACUCAAUAAGAUAAAUUUAAAACAAAGAAAGCCAAGAAUAUCUUUCACAAAACAAGCACAGAAAUAAGGAAAGAUAACUUCAUGCAGGAGUAGCCCUGAGACCAGCAUAUGUCUGGUGUUGACCCUAGGCAGGUAUCACAUGCUUUUAUGUUUUGCAAUGACAUAGUCAUGGCCCCCAACAGGAAAUGGGGCAAUUGCCACUCCAUUAUAACCUUUUCCUACUUAACAUUUAAGGAUUUGGAAUUUGAUCAUGGGAUGUGUAUAUAUGGAUGAAGGGAACUUUCUUCCGUCUUUCUAGUUUUCUCCCACUUCUAGAAUCUGCUAUGAAUUGCAAGGACGUUCUUUUCUUUUCUCUCUUGUCUGACAGGACAUUCUCUGUCAUGUCUUUCUCCUUCUAGAUGUUUCAAUCAGACUCUUUUCUCUGGGACCAUGCUGAAAAACUGGCUUUAGGCCAACAAGUUUCAGAGGGAAAAAUGAAAGAUUGAUUGACUUAACAUUUUUGAAAUAUUAUUUACAUAAGUAGUAAAUAUCAUAUAUAUAUUUUGCUGCAGAAAAAGUUGAGAAACACAUGAAAAAUCUAAACCUAUAUUUAAAAACAAAAUUUAAACUUCCAUCACUCUGAAAUAACCACUGCUAAAUUUUUGGUGUAUAUUUUCCUAGGUCUUGUCCUAAUCAUAUAUAUACUUUUUAAAAUAUCAUACUAUAUAAAUAUAAUUUUAUAACUUUUUUAUGCAUCUAACAUUAUGUUGAGAACUAUGUCAAUGGAAAAUAAGUAUGCAUAAACAUUUUAAUAGCAGUAUAAUAUUCCAUUUAAAAAUUAUCAUAAUUUGGGAGUUCCCAUUGUGGCAGCAAAAACAAAUCCGACUGGUAUCCAUGAGUAUGUUGGUUUGAUCCUUGGCCUCACUCAGUGGGUUGGGGAUCUGGUGUUGCUGUGGUGUAGGUUGCAGACUAGGACCAGAUCCUGCAUUGCUGUGGCUGUGGCAUACAUAGGCUGGCAGCUAUAGCUCUGAUUCAACUCCUAGCCUGGGAACUUCCAUAUGCCAUGGGUGAGGCCCUUAAAAAAAAAAAAAAGGCAAGAAAACAAAGUGUCAUAAUUUGAUUAACCAGAUUUUUUGUUUUACUUGCCCUGUAAUGAUUGCCUGCAAAGGUUUCUCUUUAUUUAAGUAUUUGAUUAUUUCCUUAGAAUGAGUUCUUUCAAUUAAGGGAGUUAAAGGAGGUACAUAUUUUGACAAGGUUAUUUUUCCUUUUAAAUUGGGCAAAAAGCAACCAAAGCUCUAAGAAAUGAAUUUUUUCAAGUAAGCAUGAACAAACCGCCUUUCAUCCCUGGAAUGACUACCUACCCAGGUGCCCUCUUGCCUCUGCAGUUUUCCCUCCCUUCAUUUUUGAAAAAUUAAUCUUAAAUAAAUAUGCUAUGGUCUGUAGGAAACAUGUUUCUUCCAACAAACCUCAUUGCUGAUUGAUUACAUAGAGUUCUUAAACAGUGACUGACAAUCCAAUGGGGAUGCUCACUAGCCAUUGCUGAAAAGUUUCACCCACGUCACAAUCUGCAGACCACAAUAGUUUAGCCCUGGGAUAACAUGGAGGUGCCCAGAUGACUCUUUAGGCACAUGCUGUGGUGUUCUGACAAAUUGGACCCCUGAAAAGUAAAAAAAAUCUGAUUUAUAACAUUGCACAAUUUCCAUGGUACAAAUAUACCUACUAUGGCUUAUUUCAACCUGCCAACUGACUUGAAAAAUUCUUCAGAAUUUAACAACCAACUUUUUUAUUAAGUUACUUGAGACUCUUAGAAGAUACUACUGGCCUUGACAGAGUGGUCUCAGAUAUGUAAGUCAUCUUUCAUUCCAAGUCAUGAGGUCUUUAGUGGCUUAGCACAGAUGAAAGCCUUUGUCACAUCUUUGUUUUUCUGGGAACAAAAUAUAUUUGGGAACAAAGAAUCUUCAUAAACUUGCUUUUGGACAUAAAUAUUAAGUCAUUCUAGCUAAUAGCCUUACUUCCUUCCCAGACUUGAAAUAUCAUAUAGUAAAAAUCAUAAUACUGGUUUCAUUUGGGGCCCCUUUCUCCAUCCUGCCAUGGGAAUUAUUAACAGAUCUAGUCACCAAGACUUGGGGAAGGAUAGCAUCCAGGAGUGAACUUGCUGUUUCUCUCUUGAGAGAUGUAAUCACUAUCCUCUUUAGUAUCUGGAGUAGUGAACCAUAUGAAUUCUUAUUCCCACUCCCAAACUGAGAUAUUGCUUGUAAAAAUACUUGGUAACAGUAAAUAGGAAAAGCACCAUUGAUUUUUAUUCCUUUGCUGAGUCUUCAUUCUCUUUUUAAUUCGCUCUUUGUGAAAGCUUAGGUUGCUGUUUUGUUUCAUUGUUUGCUAACAAUCAAUUACACAUUGGAGACUGCUAAAAUUCCAACUGCUGCAUUUUGGUUCCAUACACUGUAGGUUUGGAGAAAGUAACUUGAAUCAUUUAUGUCCAUGAGUUUACAACUAUUAAAUAGUAAUUGCAAUAGCUAUUGUUAACAUGAGUUGAGAAUUGUAAAAUAGUUGGAUUUAUUCAAGCUCCAUGUCUAAAACAUCUUCAAAUCAUUGCCUUGUGCUUAAUUAAAUUCAGUUGUUUUUCAGUUUUUAGCCUACUAAAAAAGUGAAAAUUGAAAUCUGUUUUUAUUUUUAUCUGAUGCCAAGGGAUUAAGCUAUCAACAUAUGUCAAAUUUAAAGGAAACUAUAUCUAUCAAUACACACAUGUGGUAUUGCAAGUUGUCCCAAGCUAUGCACAUUUCUCCAAAGGAAAAAAAAGAGAAUCCACAAAAGUGACUUUUGCUGCAAGAGGAAUACAAGUGAGUUGAAAUCCUUUCGUGAUAACAAAAGCCUCACAAAGAGGGGCUGGACUUGGUCCAUGUUUGAGGAAUUUGCAGAUAUAAAGAGUUAGUUAUCUUCUCCUCUGGCUCUGCAACACGUAGUGCAAAAAUAUUUGCUGUUGGGAAAAAAAAAAAUGUUGGAAUGCAUAGAUUUCACUGGCAGAAAGAUCCCAAGAAAUCCUUUGCUUAUUUGUAUUUCUGAUUUUUAUUCAGUAUUUGCCAUAUGACAAAAUCAUUGACUUUUAUCCACAUACCCCCCAAUUUUGUUUGAAUCCCACAACUAUUUUGUUCCUCUGGCAUGUAAUUCACUAUUAAGACAUGCUGUGCAAGAGUUCUCCUCGCAUAGAUUCAUAAAACUAAGCAGUUUGAUAUUACAUAGCUGAUAGGCUACUCUUUCCUAUUUUUCUCCCUUGAAAAUGUCAUGAAGUUUUAGGCAAAAAAGCAUGAGGUAAUAGAACACAUAUGCCAAUAGGAUAUUAAUUUCUAAAAAAUGUAUCCCAAACAUUUGAGAGUGUUACAGGAACACUUUCUCAGUUAACUCCCCAAAGGGUGUAACAAAAACUAAAUAUGUCUGUUAAAAAGUCGUUUACAAAGCAUGUAUUACAUUAUGUUCUGGUGAAUGUGGUUUCAGGAGAGUUUUUUGAGCACAUUAUGCAAAUGCUAAAGUCUCAAUCUCAGCACUUGUAAUGAAUGUCCACUCUUCAAAAGCAAACAUUUCAAACACUUAAAGUUGUGUUGUUUAGUUAGUUAGAUAGCUGGAACUUUUAGAAACUUUGUCAACAGAAAAAUACUUCAACCCCACUCCUUAGCUUUAAUGAAUACUUUUUUC